rnacentral:lncRNA from 1 species
AUGGGGGCAUGGAGGGCAAGGGGAGCAGUGGGGGCACAGCUGGGGCUGGGCUGGCAGCGCAGCGUAUCCCAAACAAAGCUCCCCUCCUCCCCGGCUCCAUGGUUGUGUCACCUCCAAGAGUUAUUCACAGAUAAACCCCAUCAGUUCGGGGCACAGCCAUUUUAUCACUGCUGGCAGCUCGGAGAGAUGCUCCAAGGUGAGGGCGAGGGGGUGGGAGGAGAUGGUAACAGCGAUGGGCACCGUGCAAGGCUGCAUCCAGCCCGACCCUCACUGCCCAGCGGGGCUUUGUUGGCCGACACGGCAGGCAGGGCACGAACCUCCUCCUCCGUGUGGGAUGAUUUAUUUGGCCACGCAGCUCCAGCCUGUUUUGCUGCAUCAUUCCCGGUGCUUUAUUGCCUCCGGCCGGGGCUGCUGCCAUCCUCCGUGCAGCACCCAGCGCUGUGCAGCUCUGAACGCUGCCAGGUCCGCCCUGACCGCUGGGGAACACGGAGGAGGAACAGCAGGGCCUCAACCUGCACGUGUGCGGGAGGGACCAGAGGGGCCAACAGGGGGUUUGGAUGGAACAACGUGCCGAGCUCUGCGGCUGGGAAGACCCCCACCUCCCUACCCCUACCCCUAUUCCUAUCUCUAUUCCUACCCUUAUUCCUAUUCCUAUCUCUGUCCCUAUUCCUAUUCCUAUCCUUAUUCCUAUUCCUAUUCCUAUUCCUAUUCCUAUUCCUAUUCCUAUUCCUAUUCCUACCCCUACCCCUAUUCCUACCCCUAUUCCUAUUCCUAUCCCUAUUCCUAUUCCUACCCCUAUUCCUAUUCCUACCCCUACCCCUAUUCCUACCCCUAUCCCUAUCCCUAUUCCUGUUCUAUGGUGUCGGCCCCGCUUCAAGGCAGCCACGUUUCUCCUGCCAGCACAGCCCGCCUUUAGUCCUUCCCCGUGCGUGUCCGCCCGCAGAUCCCGGCAGCACCGAAGCGCCGUGCGGGCACCACGAGCUGCUCCUUAUCCCCAACCCCGCCGCGUUAUUACAGCAGCAGCGGGGACACCCCGCAGUCACGGCCGGGCCGCGAUGCUGCUGGAGCCCCCCUGGUUCCCAUCGCUCCCCCGGGGCCGCCCUCCCGCAGCGGGGCGGGGCGGGGCGCGGAAGGGGCCUCUUGAAACCGCCGCGCUGCCAUUGGGCCUCGCUGCUCACUCCCGGCCCGGCUCCUCCUCCCCGAGCCCCGGGGGGACGCAGCCGCCCGGCCCCUCCCGGCCCCUCCCGGCCCCGCAGUUGGGUCGCACCGGCGGAAGCGGCGGCUGUGCGGGCAGCGCGCUGCGGGGAGGAGGGGGGAGAAGGCUGA